CAGUUUCUGUAUGCCAACGUUCUGGAAAAGCAUAACUAUUCUCUGAUAAGGUUUCACAAUGUUGAAAGUAAGGUGGAGGUCAGUACAUUUCCUUCCCAGAAGGGAAGAGGAAAGAAGCCACUUCCGAAUCCAUUUACCAUCCAGCCCCUUAAGCUGUAGAGCUGAUACCCCAUGUCCAUGGGAAAGUUCUUGGAGGUUGAGGAUUCGAUGCUUAGACUGGACCCACCCAGAAUAUACAAAUAUUUUAAGGUCUGCACCAGCGGUGUAUUUGAAAAGUCCCCACACCAUGUAACGGUAUAUUACGAUAUCUUGGUGGUUAGGGCACAGACUCUGAGAUGUCUGCCUAACACAGACUUAAAAUCUCAAGGUGACAUUUUGAGCAAAACACUUUGCACGAUUCACCCGUCAAAUGGGAAGAUAUGAGUCUGAGAUACCCAAGACAGAGAAGAUCACGUAGGCUUUGGGUUUUGUUUUAUUUUUUAGUUUAUUUCUAUUUUAUUUGUUUGGGUGUUUUGCCUGUGCGUCACAUACAUGCAGUUCCCUUGGAGGCCAGACGAGGGCAACAGAUCCCUUGAGACUGAGUUAGAGUGGGCAGUGAGCCACCUUGUGGGUGCCGAGAGUGGAGCUGGAUCCUCGAGAAGAGCAGCCAGAGCUCUUCACCACUCCAUCUC
rnacentral:lncRNA from 1 species